rnacentral:rRNA from 1 species
ACACGACUACGUAGUUUGAUCCUGGCUACAGAACGAACGCUGGCGGCAUGCCUAACACAUGCAAGUCGAACGAAGGCUUCGGCCUUAGUGGCGCACGGGUGCGUAACGCGUGGGAAUCUGCCCUUGGGUUCGGAAUAACUCAGAGAAAUUUGAGCUAAUACCGGAUGAUGACGUAAGUCCAAAGAUUUAUCGCCCAAGGAUGAGCCCGCGUAAGAUUAGCUAGUUGGUGGGGUAAAGGCCUACCAAGGCGACGAUCUUUAGCUGGUCUGAGAGGAUGAUCAGCCACACUGGGACUGAGACACGGCCCAGACUCCUACGGGAGGCAGCAGUGGGGAAUAUUGGACAAUGGGCGAAAGCCUGAUCCAGCAAUGCCGCGUGAGUGAUGAAGGCCUUAGGGUUGUAAAGCUCUUUUACCAGGGAUGAUAAUGACAGUACCUGUAGAAUAAGCUCCGGCUAACUCCGUG